rnacentral:rRNA from 1 species
AUCCAUGCUCAGAUUGAACGCUGGCGGCAGGCCUAACACAUGCAAGUCGAGCGGUAGAGAGAAGCUUGCUUCUCUUGAGAGCGGCGGACGGGUGAGUAAUGCCUAGGAAUCUGCCUGGUAGUGGGGGAUAACGUUCGGAAACGGACGCUAAUACCGCAUACGUCCUACGGGAGAAAGCAGGGGACCUUCGGGCCUUGCGCUAUCAGAUGAGCCUAGGUCGGAUUAGCUAGUUGGUGAGGUAAUGGCUCACCAAGGCGACGAUCCGUAACUGGUCUGAGAGGAUGAUCAGUCACACUGGAACUGAGACACGGUCCAGACUCCUACGGGAGGCAGCAGUGGGGAAUAUUGGACAAUGGGCGAAAGCCUGAUCCAGCCAUGCCGCGUGUGUGAAGAAGGUCUUCGGAUUGUAAAGCACUUUAAGUUGGGAGGAAGGGCAGUUACCUAAUACGUGAUUGUUUUGACGUUACCGACAGAAUAAGCACCGGCUAAC